UACGUAGGGUGCAAGCGUUAAUCGGAAUUACUGGGCGUAAAGCGUGCGCAGGCGGUUUUGUAAGUCUGUCGUGAAAUCCCCGGGCUCAACCUGGGAAUUGCGAUGGAGACUGCAAGGCUAGAAUCUGGCAGAGGGGGGUAGAAUUCCACGUGUAGCAGUGAAAUGCGUAGAGAUGUGGAGGAACACCCAUUGCGAAGGCAGCUAACUACGCGAUCAUUGACGCUGGAUGCACGAAAAGCGUGGGGGAUCAAAACAGG
rnacentral:rRNA from 1 species